rnacentral:tRNA from 1 species
GCCAGUGUGGCUCAGUGGAUAGAGUAUUGGCCUGUGAACCAAAGGGUCCUGGGUUCGAAUCCAGUCAAGGGCA